UCGAGAAUUUUGGGCAAUGGGCGAAAGCCUGACCCAGCAACGCCGCGUGAAGGAUGAAGUAUUUCGGUAUGUAAACUUCGUAAGAAUAGGAAGAAUAAAUGACGGUACUAUUUGUAAGGUCCGGCUAACUACGUGCCAGCAGCCGCGGUAAUACGUAGGGACCAAGCGUUGUUCGGAUUUACUGGGCGUAAAGGGCGCGUAGGCGGUGUGUCAAGUCAGUUGUGAAAUCUCCGAGCUUAACUCGGAACGGUCAACUGAUACUGUCACACUAGAGUACAGAAGGGGCAAUCGGAAUUCUUGGUGUAGCGGUGAAAUGCGUAGAUAUCAAGAGGAACACCUGAGGCGAAGGCGGGUUGCUGGGCUGAUACUGACGCUGAGGCGCGAAAGCUAGGGUAGCAAACGGGAUUAGAUACCCUCGUAGUCCCUGAGCGGGCUGGCAAGGCGCAU
rnacentral:rRNA from 1 species